rnacentral:rRNA from 1 species
GACGAACGCUGGCGGCGUGCUUAACACAUGCAAGUCGAACGGAAAGGCCCCUUUGGGGGUACUCGAGUGGCGAACGGGUGAGUAACACGUGAGUAACCUGCCCUUGACUUCGGGAUAACUUCAGGAAACUGGGGCUAAUACCGGAUAGGAAUCCUUGCUGCAUGGUGGGGGUUGGAAAGCUUCGGCGGUUUUGGGUGGACUCGCGGCUUAUCAGCUUGUUGGUGGGGUAGUGGCUUACCAAGGCUUUGACGGGUAGCCGGCCUGAGAGGGCGACCGGCCACAUUGGGACUGAGAUACGGCCCAGACUCCUACGGGAGGCAGCAGUGGGGAAUAUUGCACAAUGGGCGGAAGCCUGAUGCAGCAACGCCGCGGGCGGGAUGACGGCCUUCGGGUUGUAAACCGCUUUCAGCAGGGGCGAAGCUUGUGGUGACGGUACCUGCAGAAGAAGCACCGGCUAACUACGUG